rnacentral:rRNA from 1 species
AGUGAACGCUGGCGGUAGGCCUAACACAUGCAAGUCGAACGGCAGCACAGUAAGAGCUUGCUCUUACGGGUGGCGAGUGGCGGACGGGUGAGGAAUACAUCGGAAUCUACUUUUUCGUGGGGGAUAACGUAGGGAAACUUACGCUAAUACCGCAUACGACCUACGGGUGAAAGCAGGGGAUCUUCGGACCUUGCGCGAUUGAAUGAGCCGAUGUCGGAUUAGCUAGUUGGCGGGGUAAUGGCCCACCAAGGCGAUGAUCCGUAGCUGGUCUGAGAGGAUGAUCGGCCACACUGGAACGGAGACACGGUCCAGACUCCUACGGGAGGCAGCAGUGGGGAAUAUUGGACAAUGGGCGCAAACCUGAUCCAGCCAUACCGCGUGGGUGAAGAAGGCCUUCGGGUUGUAAAGCCCUUUUGUUGGGAAAGAAAAGCAGCAGGUUAAUACCCCGCUGUUCUGACGGUACCCAAAGAAUAAGCACCGGCUAACUUCGUG